rnacentral:rRNA from 1 species
GACGAACGCUGGCGGCGUGCUUAACACAUGCAAGUCGAACGGGCCCGCCCCUGUUUUUGGGGGUGGGUUGAGUGGCGAACGGGUGAGUAUCACGUGAGUAACCUGCCCCCUGCUCCUGGAUAACUGCUUGAAAGGGCGGCUAAUACGGGGUGUGCCGGCUGGUCCGCAUGGGCCUGGUCGGGAUAGUUUCAUCUUCGGGUGUUUCGGUGAGGGAUGGGCUCGCGGCCUAUCAGCUUGUUGGUGGGGUGAUGGCCCACCAAGGCGGUGACGGGUAGCCGGCCUGAGAGGGUGGGCGGCCACACUGGGACGGAGACACGGCCCAGACUCCUGCGGGAGGCAGCAGUGGGGGGUAGUGCACAAUGGGCGGAAGCCUGAUGCAGCGACGUCGCGUGAGGGAUGGAGGCCUUCGGGUUGUGAACCUCUUUCUCCGGUGGUGAAGGCCCUGUCCGGUGCGGCGGGGUUGACGGUAGCCGGGUAUGAAGCGCCGGCUAACUACGUG